rnacentral:rRNA from 1 species
UACGUAGGUGGCAAGCGUUUGUCCGGAUUUACUGGGCGUAAAGGGCGUGCAGGCGGUCUGUUAAGUGCAGGGUGAAAGCUCCCGGCUCAACUGGGAGAGGUCCUUGCAUACUGGCGGACUUGAGGGGGGUAGAGGAAAGUGGAAUUCCCGGUGUAGUGGUGAUAUGCGUAGAUAUCUGGAGGAAUACCGGAGGCGAAGGCGGGUACCGCUGGACACUGACAACUCAGAUCCGGAAAGUGUGGGGAAUCAAACAGGA